rnacentral:rRNA from 1 species
AGAGUUUGAUCCUGGCUCAGAACGAACGCUGGCGGCGUGGAUAAGACAUGCAAGUCGAACGAGAGAAUUGCUAGCUUGCUAAUAAUUCUCUAGUGGCGCACGGGUGAGUAACACGUGAGUAACCUGCCCCCGAGAGCGGGAUAGCCCUGGGAAACUGGGAUUAAUACCGCAUAGUAUCGAAAGAUUAAAGCAGCAAUGCGCUUGGGGAUGGGCUCGCGGCCUAUUAGUUAGUUGGUGAGGUAACGGCUCACCAAGGCGAUGACGGGUAGCCGGUCUGAGAGGAUGUCCGGCCACACUGGAACUGAGACACGGUCCAGACACCUACGGGUGGCAGCAGUCGAGAAUCAUUCACAAUGGGGGAAACCCUGAUGGUGUGACGCCGCGUGGGGGAAUGAAGGUCUUCGGAUUGUAAACCCCUGUCAUGUGGGAGCAAAUUAAAAAGAUAGUACCACAAGAGGAAGAGACGGCUAACUCUGUGCCAGCAGCCGCGGUAAUACAGAGGUCUCAAGCGUUGUUCGGAAUCACUGGGCGUAAAGCGUGCGUAGGCUGUUUCGUAAGUCGUGUGUGAAAGGCGCGGGCUCAACCCGCGGACGGCACAUGAUACUGCGAGACUAGAGUAAUGGAGGGGGAACCGGAAUUCUCGGUGUAGCAGUGAAAUGCGUAGAUAUCGAGAGGAACACUCGUGGCGAAGGCGGGUUCCUGGACAUUAACUGACGCUGAGGCACGAAGGCCAGGGGAGCGAAAGGGAUUAGAUACCCCUGUAGUCCUGGCAGUAAACGGUGCACGCUUGGUGUGCGGGGAAUCGACCCCCUGC